rnacentral:rRNA from 1 species
UAUUAAAUGCGCGUUUAGGGGUGAUAGGCUUUUCAAACGUUCGUAUAACUUGUUUCAUAUGAAAAGUAUUUARUACCUAAACAAAUUUGAAAAGUUAAGCUUUUAAAUUAUUAUUAAAGAUAUUAUUCCCUUGUAGUGUAGUUUAAUAGCUAUCUACAUAGUAACUUAACAUUAAUUAUGUUAGUUUAUAUAUUAUAGUAUGACGCUAGCAAUUUUGUUAAUAAUUGAAAAUGUUAGUAUUAGUAAUAUUAGUAUAUGUGCUAAAGGAACUCGGCAAAAAACCGCUCAACUGUUUAUCAAAAACAUAGCUAUAUGAAUUAGUAUAUAGUUGUUUCUGCUCAAUGACUUAAAUAGCCGCAGUACUCUGACUGUGCAAAGGUAGCAUAAUCAGUUGGCUUUUAAUUAGAGUCUGGUAUGAACGAAAAUAUGGGUAGUAACUGUCUUAGCACAUUUCUUUGAACUUGUUAAACAAGUGCAAAUGCUUGUAAUUAAACAAUAGACGAGAAGACCCUAGAAACUUGGACAUGUUUUUGUUGGGGCGACAGAAUUACAUUUAACUAAUCUUCUAAUACAUGACGCGAUGCUGAAAGAAUAAGUUACUCUAGGGAUAACAGCAUAAUUUCAUUAGUUUGUGACCUCGAUGUUGGACUAGGUACUAUACCCUUAAGGCAAGGAUAUAUUGUGCUCUGUUCGAGCAAAAUUACCUACAUGAUCUGAGUUCAGACC